GGCAAUGCGCGGCUACCAUGCAGUCGACGGUAACAGGAAGCAGCUUGCUGCUUCGCUGACGAGUGGCGGACGGGUGAGUAAUGUCUGGGAAACUGCCUGAUGGAGGGGGAUAACUACUGGAAACGGUAGCUAAUACCGCAUAACGUCGCAAGACCAAAGAGGGGGACCUUCGGGCCUCUUGCCAUCGGAUGUGCCCAGAUGGGAUUAGCUAGUAGGUGGGGUAACGGCUCACCUAGGCGACGAUCCCUAGCUGGUCUGAGAGGAUGACCAGCCACACUGGAACUGAGACACGGUCCAGACUCCUACGGGAGGCAGCAGUGGGGAAUAUUGCACAAUGGGCGCAAGCCUGAUGCAGCCAUGCCGCGUGUAUGAAGAAGGCCUUCGGGUUGUAAAGUACUUUCAGCGGGGAGGAAGGCGAUGAGGUUAAUAACCUUGUCGAUUGACGUUACCCGCAGAAGAAGCACCGGCUAACUCCGUGCCAGCAGCCGCGGUAAUACGGAGGGUGCAAGCGUUAAUCGGAAUUACUGGGCGUAAAGCGCACGCAGGCGGUCUGUCAAGUCGGAUGUGAAAUCCCCGGGCUCAACCUGGGAACUGCUUUUCGAAACUGGCAGGCUAGAGUCUUGUAGAGGGGGGUA
rnacentral:rRNA from 1 species